rnacentral:rRNA from 1 species
CGGAUUGCAGGCUGCAACUCGCCUGCAUGAAGUCGGAAUUGCUAGUAAUCGCGGAUCAGAAUGCCGCGGUGAAUACGUUCCCGGGUCUUGUACACACCGCCCGUCACACCAUGGGAGUCGGAAAUGCCCGAAGUCUGUGACCCAACCGGAAGGAGGGAGCAGCCGAAGGCAGGUCGGAUGACUGGGGUGAAGUCGUAACAAGGUAUC